CAGUGUUACAGCUCUUUUAGAAUUUGUCUAGCAGGUUUUCUGGUUUUCCAGAAAGCCUCC
ensembl:snRNA U7 U7 small nuclear RNA